CGCGUAGGCGGCCUGAUAAGUCAGAUGUGAAAGUCCAUGGCUCAACCGUGGAAGUGCAUUUGAAACUGUCAGGCUUGAGUAUCGGAGGGGAGUGUGGAAUUCCCGGUGUAGAGGUGAAAUUCGUAGAGAUCGGGAGGAACACCGGUGGCGAAGGCGACACUCUGGACGAAUACUGACGCUGAGGCGCGAAAGCGUGGGGAGCAAACAGGAUUAGAUACCCUGGUAGUCC
rnacentral:rRNA from 1 species